AGAGUUUGAUCAUGGCUCAGAACGAACGCUGGCGGCAGGCUUAACACAUGCAAGUCGAACGCUCACUCCGGUGAGAGUGGCAGACGGGUGAGUAACGCGUGGGAAUAUACCUAUCAGUACGGAACAACAGUUGGAAACGACUGCUAAUACCGUAUACGCCCUACGGGGGAAAGAUUCAUCGCUGAUAGAUUAGCCCGCGUUAGAUUAGCUAGUUGGUGGGGUAAAGGCCUACCAAGGCGACGAUCUAUAGCUGGUCUGAGAGGAUGAUCAGCCACACUGGGACUGAGACACGGCCCAGACUCCUACGGGAGGCAGCAGUGGGGAAUAUUGGACAAUGGGCGCAAGCCUGAUCCAGCCAUGCCGCGUGUGUGAUGAAGGCCUUAGGGUUGUAAAGCACUUUCAACGGUGAAGAUAAUGACGGUAACCGUAGAAGAAGCCCCGGCUAACUUCGUGCCAGCAGCCGCGGUAAU
rnacentral:rRNA from 1 species